AUCACUUCUUAGCCUUUUGGAUAAGAUCAAGUGUAGUAUCUGUUCUUAUCAGUUUAAAAAAUGUGGCAAGAAUUAGUCCUCAGAAAUGUACUUUAUAGGUAAUGACCUUUUGCAAAUGAUACAAAACCACUUUUGCAAUUCUUUUUUAUUACAUGUAUUUAUGUGAGGUGGAGAGUAGGGCAG
ensembl:snRNA U2 U2 spliceosomal RNA